UGGGAGGUUGUAGCCUUGCCAUGGCUGUCCCUUAUUCCAUUAGUUUCUUCCUUCAUCCCUUCCUUCUUCUCUUCUUGCUUAGCUUUCUGGCUUUAAAGCCAAUACAUAGACAGAGGAAGAGAGAUAGAUAGAGAGAGAAGUUAGUAAAUAGGGAGCCAUGGGUAAUAGCAAAGAUGUGGUUGAUAGAGAGGAAAAUGGGUUUAAAGAGCCUCUCAUGCAUGCAGAAGAGACUCGUUCAUGCAAAGAAUCCUUAUGCAUGGUUUUGGUCAGCACUGCGGUAUCGGUCUGUGGAUCGUUCGAGUUUGGUGUUUGUGUCGGCUAUUCGGCACCAACUCAGUCCGAGAUAAGACAAGAUCUAGGCCUCAGUCUAUCUGAGUAUUCUGUUUUUGGCUCCAUAGUGACAAUUGGUGCAAUGAUUGGAGCAGUUACAAGUGGGCGUAUCUCUGAUUUUUCCGGCCGUAAAGGAGCUAUGAGAAUGUCAGCUAUUGUCUGCAUCAUAGGAUGGCUUGGAAUUUACUUUGCUGAAGGUGCAUUUUCACUCGAUCUUGGGAGAAUUCUCACGGGAUAUGGAACUGGAGUCUUUUCCUAUGUGGUACCAGUUUUCAUAGCAGAGAUUGCACCCAAACAGCUUAGAGGAGGGCUGACAACCAUCAACCAGCUAUUAAUCUGUGGGGGAUUAUCAUUGUGUUACAUAAUUGGAACACUAGUCACAUGGCGCACGCUGGUUCUAGUUGGACUUGUUCCAUGCUUUGUUAUACUUGUGGGUCUCUAUUUCAUCCCAGAGUCUCCUAGAUGGCUGGCAAAGGUGGGACGAGAUAGGGAAUCUGAAGUUGCAUUGCAAAGCCUUCGUGGAAAGGAUGCUGAUAUCUCUCAGGAAGCAGCAGACAUUCAAGAAUAUGUAGAAACUCUUCGGAGCCUUCCUGAGACUAGGAUUUUGGAGCUAUUCCAAAGGACAUACAUCCGUUCGGUUAUCGUUGGUGUUGGCCUAAUGGCGUUUCAACAAUUUGGAGGAGUCAAUGGAAUUACAUUCUAUGCCACUGAAAUAUUUGUAUCUGCAGGAUUCGCUUCAGGAAAUCUUGGAACCAUUUUGCUGGGAUCCAUUCAGGUUCCUAUUACGACAAUGGGUGCUUUUUUGAUGGAUAAGAGUGGAAGAAGGCCUCUCCUAAUGGUUUCUGCAUCAGGAACAUGUUUAAGUGCUUUUACAAUUGCAAUAUCAUUCUACUUGAAGGACAAAGGAAUUUACAUGGAUUGGGUCCCUUUGCUAGCUCUUACUGGCAUAUUGGGCUUUUUGGGGUCUUUUUCAAUAGGAAUGGGAGCCAUUCCUUGGGUUAUAAUGUCCGAGAUCCUUAAAAAUGAAGGCAGGGUGUAGGAUGUUGCAUUGAGAUUGGAUUGGUUGCAGAUAUUCCCAAUCAACAUAAAAGGAGUAGCUGGAAGCCUAGUGACUCUGGUGAACUGGUUUGCUUCAUGGGCAGUUUCGUAUGCUUUCAAUUUUCUCGUGAGCUGGAGUUCUUCAGGUACCUUUUUUGUCUUCGCUGCUUUUUGUGCAACAUCUGUUGUUUUUGUUGCAAAAGUAGUACCAGAAACAAAAGGAAGGACUUUGGAAGAGAUUCAGGCAUCCAUGAAUUCCUUCAAAUGAAAAUUUUUAGCAGCAGUCAAUCUGGUUUUGCAAGCAAAGCAAUUCAGAUAGUUUUAGCACAACUCUAUAAAUUGUUGAUGUUUUCAAAUUGACAUCUCAAUCAAGCAAUCAACUACUGUGAUUAUCACAAGUCUGUAACACCAUUUCUGAACUACAAUUAAGUUUUUAAUGGAAAUAAUAAUCAUUAAGUU